UGAGGCAGGGGGAGGUGGGCGGGGCCUCCGCCCCAGAGAGCGGGCAGGGUUCAGUCGCGCGCUGCCAGACCGAGCACGGUGCCGGUGCCGAUCGCAACGCGCCGCCCCGUCACGGUUCAUGCAGCUGCAAGCCCCCCGGGUGCGAUGGCCAGACCGCUGCGGGAAGGGAGCCUCGGCGAGCCUCCAGCCCCCCUGCCUGCACAUCCUGCCUGCAGGGGGGGGGGGGGAGCGUUGGCCCUGCCUGCACAUCCUGCCUGCAGGGGGGAGAGGGGGGGGGCGUUGGUCCUGCGUGGGGAUCCCCCCCCCCCUCACGCCCCCCCCAAGUCGUCAUCCCCGUUUGAGCUGCGCUUGUCCCGGGGCUCCCCCCCCCAACUUCGUUCUCUAUCGCUGCGGGACACGGGGAACCCCUGGCGCUGCCCACGGUGAGUUUCACCCUACGGAGGAUGGGGACCACGAGGGACCCCCCCAAAGUGGGGGGAGCCGGGGGGGGGGCUGUCCCCAACGGUCACCUCCCCGGGGCAGCCCCCGGUCCGGAGCAGGAGCUGGGCGCCCGCCUGCGCCGUUUGGGUGACGCUUUCCAGCGGACCUACGAGCAGCAGCAGCGGGAGCAGCGGGGCGGCGUCGGCGGCAUUUUUUGGGGUCACCUUUACCGCCUGGUCUCGCAGUUGCUGGGAGCCGUCUACAACCUGCAGGCAGCUGCCUUGCCCGCGCGGGAAGCCAACUAGCCCUGCCUGUACUUUCCUGCCUGUACUCCUGCCUGUACUCCUGCCUGCAAGGACUAACACCCCCCCCCCCCCUCACCUGGCCGCCCCCCCUGCCUCCCCCCUUCACCACCACCACCGUGAAGAGAAGCUGCCCCAUGCUGCAGCUCCCGGGGGGUCACUGCUGGAUCAUCCUCCCCCCCCCCCCCAGUUUCUAUUUAUUUAAUUUAUUGGGGUUUUUUGUUGGGGGGGGUAUAGGUGGAGGGAGGGGGACAUGGGGGGGGCACCCCCAGCCCCGCCCCCCCCCCCCCCAAAAUACGGUGCUCCUGAUGUCGCAGCCCCCCCUCCCUGCUCUGGUCGGGCUUCCCCAUGGGGGGGGUACACAGCACUCUGUAUAUACUGUAUGUUGGAACUGUAUAUAGGGGAGGGGGGGGGGCUGUACAUUAUAUAUAGGGAAGGCAGUGUAUAUAGGGGGUGGGGGGGCUGUAUAUAGGGGAAGACAGCAGUUGUAUAUGAUCAGUUACUUUUUUUGUACGUUUCUUUUCAAUAAAAUGAAUUUAAGGA